rnacentral:rRNA from 1 species
GAUGAACGCUGGCGGCGUGCUUAACACAUGCAAGUCGAACGAUGAAGCCCAGCUUGCUGGGUGGAUUAGUGGCGAACGGGUGAGUAACACGCGAGUAACCUGCCCUUAACUCUGGGAUAAGCCUGGGAAACUGGGUCUAAUACCGGAUAGGAGCGUCCACCGCAUGGUGGGUGUUGGAAAGAUUUAUCGGUUUUGGAUGGACUCGCGGCCUAUCAGCUUGUUGGUGAGGUAAUGGCUCACCAAGGCGACGACGGGUAGCCGGCCUGAGAGGGUGACCGGCCACACUGGGACUGAGACACGGCCCAGACUCCUACGGGAGGCAGCAGUGGGGAAUAUUGCACAAUGGGCGCAAGCCUGAUGCAGCGACGCCGCGUGAGGGAUGACGGCCUUCGGGUUGUAAACCUCUUUCAGUAGGGAAGAAGCGAAAGUGACGGUACCUGCAGAAGAAGCACCGGCUAACUACGUG